rnacentral:rRNA from 1 species
AUGAGGUCUGAAAUUCCUCUACAUGUGGAAACCAUGGGCAAAAGAAAUGUCAAAUUGAAGGACAGUUGUAUUUACAUCCCCUUGAGACUUGUCGACCAUUUCGAACCUGACAUUACACUCAAAGACCACGAGGACAAGAUACACGGUGUUCGAGCAAGGAAGCACGAUGCUGACCAGAUAGUCUUAGAAUCUAGGUGGGGUGAAUUUGUGUUUAAACAGCGCAUACAAGAGAAUGACCUCAUCAUUUUCAAAAAGGGGAAACCUCACAUCGAAGUUUUCAUCCUUGAGAAAACCUCAUCAUCUUUUCUAACGGGAAAUAAUUCCUGUGCCCAAGAAGUCAUUGAGUUGAGUAGUUCUGAUGACGAUGAGAUCAUGGCUAAGAAGAUGGCUUCAGUAUCCCCCCCUUGCGCUAAAUCAGGUUAUAAUAUUGUAGUUACAUGUGCAAUUUUUUAUUUGCCAUAA